CAGUCGCCACGGUAAUACGAAGGGGGCUAGCGUUGCUCGGAAUUACUGGGCGUAAAGGGAGCGUAGGCGGAUCGUUAAGUUGGGGGUGAAAGCCCGGGGCUCAACCUCGGAACUGCCUUCAAUACUGGCGAUCUUGAGUAUGAGAGAGGUGUGUGGAACUCCGAGUGUGGAGGUGAAAUUCGUAGAUAUUCGGAAGAACACCAGUGGCGAAGGCGACACACUGGCUCAUUACUGACGCUGAGGCUCGAAAGCGUGGGGAGCAAACAGGAUUAGAUACCCCAGUAGUCCCUGUCUCUUAUAC
rnacentral:rRNA from 1 species